UUGGUUUUUUUCUUAAUCAACCAUAGUUAUUUCUCUACUUACAAAUCUGGAAGAAAAAAAUAGAGUCGAACUUUUUGAAAAUGUUUGACAAUACAAUGAAUGGAAUAGAAUAGAAAUGUUUGUAUAUGCUCCUAUUCCAACAAUAUUGCAGUGGAUCAAAGUAAUUUUGGAUCUCUUUCUAGAAUUUCCUUGAAGACUAUAAGAUACAUUUUAUUUAAAUACUAUGCUCUCCUAUUCCCCCUUUGCCUCACGACCUCCUGGAAGGUAAGGGCCAUGUUUAUUUCUUUAUAGCACCAACAUCUACUUCUCUACCAGAAACCUAGUAAGUUGGUAUUAAAGGUAUUUUAUAAGAAGUGUUCUCAGUGUGAAUAACAAUCACUAUCCAGAAGUCUCCAGAUUCUGUACCCUUUGAUUAGUACCUGGUUUUUAAAAUGUCUCCUUGCUAACCAUUAUCUCAAGGUAAGUAGAAACUAGUCAUUUUCCUCAAAAUUUUAAGACCAGCAAGUGAUUCAAGUGUCAGCUUAGAAGGUUUAUGUGCUGUUUUUCACCUUACCCAAAGGGUGUGGUGGGAGGCAGUGAAAGUCAAUAGCUUGGUUUGACCUAGUCUAGACCAGUGGAUUGAUCUGGACUUCCUGGAUGGCCUCAACACCCUGCAGUUUCUAGUCCCGGUUAACUUUGUACAGUAGUGUUUUUAUUUGGAUAGAUGGGCAGUUCUGGCUGAUUUAGAGGGCACACCUAGGAUUACUCAACAGUGAGCCCAGUAUUUGUACACAUGAAGCUUAAAAAGACACUUUGCAAAAAGAAUCAUUUUAAGCCAGUCCAGGCCAUCAUGUGCCACCGUGUAGAGCAUUCAACCUGGCUCAUAAGCAUAUGGCUCCUGGUCUUUAAAGGUUCAUUUUUGCAUUUUAAAUACCUGCAAGGAUUUAUCUUGACGUUUUCAAAACUCCCCACCUUGUCCCAGAUCACAUUUCCACUGAAUCCUGUGUUCUCUGUGCCUCCACACUAUAUCUUAGCUACCCCUCCAGCUCUUACAGAGCAACUUCCAUUCACGGAACCUCCUGCAGAAGGCUCACCCAGGAAACUGGGACUAUUUCUCCAACAAAAUCUUACUCAUCCGGUGCUUUUUCUGUGAGGAGUACACCGUAGAUUAGUUCCUUUCUCUCACAUCAUGGAUCUGAGUUGUGGUUAAAUUCUGUUCUUCAGAUGGACCUCUUUUUCUAAGUCUGAAUUUGCAUAUAGGUUUACCUUCCAUCACAAGCACUGCUCCUGGGUUCUUCCCACAUAUCCUUUUGCUCCUUGUCCUACCCCCCAGAAUGCCAUAUCUUAUUACAAGUUGUUGUGCUUAUAGGAAUAGAGAAUAUUACACCAUGCUGAGAUGUGGAGGCUGGGGAGUGGCCGAGCCUACUAGCUAAUGACCUGAACAUAGCAGCACUGGGCCUACAUUUGAGCUGCAGUAAAAUGCCAAGACCUCACACAUUGGACCUUCAGUGUUCCUCAGGUUCAGUACUUUCUUGAUAUCAGAGCAAAGGAGUUGUUAGUCCAUGAAAUUUCAUUGUGAUGUUAAUCACCAGAGAAAGGUGUACUUAACAAUAUACAGUGUGCUCUAUUCCAAGCACUGAGGGAAGAAUCCUUACUUGAAAGAGGACAACUGAAUUAUCAGGUAAGAGAGUCAAGAAGCUGCCUCGAAAAAUGAUCACCUUUUGCUGUACAUUCCAACCCCGAAACACCAUAAAAAUAUCAACAUGCCUGUCUCAGUCCACAGAACCUGGCUCAUGAGUCUUUGGUGCCUACCAGGACUUAAAACAAGAUGCCACUCCCAGCCGGAUUCCCAGAUAAAAACUAAACUGGAGGUGGCAAUCAUAGAUUUAUAAUCAACAGCAUCUCAAAAAUGAGCCAUGGGUAAAGAGGACUAUCUUCUGGAAAAUAUGGCCACAACGCACACAGAUCAAGGCUUUAGAAUGUGUAUUUAUUUCCCUCCUAAAAAGUGGAAAGAAUCUACUCAAUCAUACCAGUAGCAAUAAAAAAUAAAAAGGAAUGUUCAAAUUAACAGCCAUUUUUUUCACCACUUGACAAAAAAUAUUAAAACACUAGGGUCCCAAGGGAAUAAGGCAUUUGCGCAAAUCAGCUAACUUAUGCAACUUAAAAGCCAACAGGCAUAGCUUCAUGGUUCUAAUAUCUUUUUAAAGCUCUCCUAAGAGGACCUCUACUCCAGUGAGCCCCACAAGCGCAAAAACUUCUCUUGCCUCUCUAAAAGGAUUUGGGAUGUGCCAGGUUUCUGGGAUGGUGAUUGGUCGUUUGUAUAUAACUGUCUCAACCAGAAUUACUCUUCCUCAUUCAUUCACGGAUAGACAUCAUUUCUCCUUUGUCAGGCCCUGUGCUUGGCAUAAGGGAGAGUAGAAACAGGAGAUGAAUAUACUGGAGUUUAUGCAAUACAUAAAUGAAUGAGGCAAGAGCUGAAAUAGGAGGUGAAUGCAGUUCAU